AUUGAACGCUGGCGGCAGGCCUAACACAUGCAAGUCGAGCGGGGUUUUCGGACCUAGCGGCGGACGGGUGAGUAAUGCGUAGGAAGCUGCCCGAUAGAGGGGGAUACCAGUUGGAAACGACUGUUAAUACCGCAUAAUGUCUACGGACCAAAGUGUGGGACCUUCGGGCCACAUGCUAUCGGAUGCGCCUACGUGGGAUUAGCUAGUUGGUGAGGUAAUGGCUCACCAAGGCGACGAUCUCUGGCUGGUUUGAGAGGAUGAUCAGCCACACUGGAACUGAGACACGGUCCAGACUCCUACGGGAGGCAGCAGUGGGGAAUAUUGGACAAUGGGCGCAAGCCUGAUCCAGCCAUGCCGCGUGUGUGAAGAAGGCCGUCGGGUUGUAAAGCACUUUCAGCGAGGAGGAAGGGUGGUGUGUUAAUAGCACAUCAUUUUGACGUUACUCGCAGAAGAAGCACCGGCUAACUCUGUGCCAGCCGCCGCAGUAAAAC
rnacentral:rRNA from 1 species